ACUUGUAGCUCAGUUGGUAGAGCAAUUGACUCUUAAUCAAUGGGUCCAGGGUUCGAAUCCCUGCAAGUC
rnacentral:tRNA from 1 species